GUGCUUGCUUCGGCAGCACAUAUACUAAAAUUGUAACAACACAGAGAAGAUUAGCAUGGACCCUGCACAAGGAUGACACGCAAAUUCAUGAAGCUUUCCAUUUAGAA
ensembl:snRNA U6 U6 spliceosomal RNA